rnacentral:rRNA from 1 species
UCAUUGUCGAUGCCUCAAACAAUUCCACCCGCGAAUACGUACCAAACACACAACAACGCGCAAGGCCAGCGGGGGCACGCAAGUUCUCCCACGACCAAGUGCGUUGUCGAGAGCGGGGGUGGGCGUCUUGAUGCCUUGUGCAUCCGGUCGCAAACCCGUGUCUCCCGACAAAAACUAACCCCGGCGUUUUACGCGCCAAGGAAAACGAAGCUGUUAGGUGAGGCAAACGGGGGACGUGUCCCGCGGGCGCCUUCACGACGACAUGUUAUGUAAAAUGACUCUCGGCAACGGAUAUCUCGGCUCUUGCAUCGAUGAAGAACGUAGCGAAAUGCGAUACUUGGUGUGAAUUGCAGAAUCCCGUGAACCAUCGAGUCUUUGAACGCAAGUUGCGCCCAAAGCCAUUAGGCUGAGGGCACGCCUGCCUGGGUGUCACACAUCGUCACCCCUUCCUCCACACUUAACCAGUUAAAUGUGAGGCAGUGGGUGAAAGUUGACCUCCCGCGAGCCAGUUCCUCGUGGUUGGUUGAAAAGCAAGUUCGGGGCGGAGUCCCCCACGAUAACGGUGGAUGAGCCCACGCUCGAGACCAAUCGUGCCUGUGGGACUCCGACGUAACGGACUUAUCGACCCCACACGCGCCCUCUGUGCAAACCGAGUGUGCCAUCUACGAGACCUCAGGUCAGGCGGGGCUAC